rnacentral:misc_RNA from 1 species
UAGAGUUGCAAGACUCCCAAACCCAAUGUGAACCAUACCAAACUGUUGCCUCGGCGGGGUCACGCCCCGGGGGCGUCGCAGCCCCGGAACCAGGCGCCCGCCGGAGGGACCAACCAAACUCUUUCUGUAGUCCCCUCGCGGACGUUAUUUCUUACAGCUCUGAGCAAAAAUUCAAAAUGAAUCA